rnacentral:lncRNA from 1 species
UUUGUAAACGAGGAGUCUUUGUCCCACUAGCAUUAGAUUUUUUAAACUCUGAGUUUAAAUAGAUGAUUAUCUUUUGACUUUUUUUUUUAAUCUAGAUCAGCCUGGGAAUGAAAGGCCUACUAAAAUUGGAUCUCUGUUGUACCGAAUAUCGGCUUAUGAUAGGCAAGUCUAUUUUAACCAUAUCACAUAUCCCCCACUUUUUAGUUCGAGCCUUUUUUUGGGCUUAGAUGACAUAGUCAAAUAAACUAACUAUACGCA